rnacentral:rRNA from 1 species
GAUGAACGCUGGCGGCGUGCCUAAUACAUGCAAGUCGAACGAAACUUCUUUAUCACCGAGUGCUUGCACUCACCGAUAAAGAGUUGAGUGGCGAACGGGUGAGUAACACGUGGGCAACCUGCCCAAAAGAGGGGGAUAACACUUGGAAACAGGUGCUAAUACCGCAUAACCAUAGUUACCGCAUGGUAACUAUGUAAAAGGUGGCUAUACUACCGCUUUUGGAUGGGCCCGCGGCGCAUUAGCUAGUUGGUAGGGUAAAGGCUUACCAAGGCAAUGAUGCGUAGCCGAAAUGGGAGGGUGAUCGGCCACACUGGAACUGAGACACGGGCCAGACUCCUAAGGGAGGGAGCAGUAGGGAAUCUUCCCCAAUGGGGGAAAGCCUGACGGAGCAACGCCGCGUGGGUGAAGAAGGUUUUCGGAUCGGAAAACCCUGUUUUUAGGGAAGAAAAGUGGUGGAAGUAACUUUGCACAUUUUGACGGUACCUAAACAGAAAGCCACGGCUAACUACGUG